AUAUAAGAAACGUUUCUCUCUAAACAUGGGUGAAACAGAGCAGAGACCAACAGCAGGAUCCCGGUUAGGAGCUCAGGAGAAUGCUGGGAUCAGUACCUUGGAGCAUGGACAGAAACCACCAAUGACACCUCCAGGAAAACUCAUCUCCAUCAAAAUUCAGAUGCUGGAUGACACGCAAGAAACUUUUGAUGUUCCGCAAAGAGCUCCAGGGAAAGUUUUGCAUGACGCUGUUUGCAACCACCUGAACCUUGUUGAAGGCGACUAUUUUGGCCUUGAGUUUCCAGACCAUAAAAAGAUGAUGGUGUGGCUUGAUCUUUUGAAGCCUGUUAUGAAACAGAUUAGAAGACCGAAGCAUGUUGUUGUAAAAUUUGUGGUAAAAUUUUUCCCACCUGACCACGCUCAGCUGCAGGAGGAACUGACAAGGUACCUAUUUGCAUUGCAAGUGAAGCAGGACCUGGCACAGGGAAGGCUAACAUGUAACGAUACCAGCACUGCCCUCUUAAUCUCACACAUAAUACAGUCUGAGAUUGGGGAUUUUGAUGAAACCAUAGACCGUGAACACUUAGCGAAGAACAAGUAUAUACCUCAGCAAGAAGCACUAGAAGACAAAAUCAUGGAAUUUCACCGUAAUCACAUGGGACAGACACCAGCAGAGUCUGAUUUCCAGCUUUUGGAGAUUGCCCGUCGGCUGGAGAUGUAUGGAAUACGCUUGCAUCCAGCCAAGGACAGGGAAGGGACAAAAAUCAACCUGGCUGUUGCCAACACAGGCAUUCUGGUGUUUCAGGGUCACACCAAGAUCAAUGCCUUCAACUGGGCUAAGGUUCGAAAGCUGAGCUUCAAGAGGAAACGUUUUCUUAUCAAACUGCGGCCUGAUGUGAAUAGUUCAUUCCAGGACACUCUGGAAUUCCUUAUGGCCAGUCGAGAUUUUUGCAAAUCGUUCUGGAAGAUCUGUGUGGAGCAUCAUGCCUUUUUCAGGCUGUUUGAGGAACCUAAACCAAAGCCCAAACCUGUUCUUUUUUCUAGAGGUUCAUCAUUUAGGUUCAGUGGCCGGACUCAGAAACAAGUUCUUGACUAUGUUAAAGAAGGAGGGCACAAAAAAGUACAGUUUGAAAGGAAACACAGCAAGAUUCGUUCCAUCAGGAGUCUGACAGCACAGCCUUCAGAACAGCAUACAGAGGUGCCAAAACAAAGCUCCAGCUUUGCCUAUGGAGAUGACAGUGAUGCUGCAGCAGUGCAGAGCUGCCAGCAAGGAAAGGAAUUGAAAGCUUCAACAGAAGACACUGGACAGCACAAGAGCCCUUCCUUAAAGAAGAGCCCAAAAGAAGGCAGAAAGGUGGAUGGAGCAGUGGUGUCAGCUGUGGAGGAGGAAGAGGAGGCUGCUACGGAUAGGAUGCAGCAGAACAGACCUCAGUCACAGCAACCAAGCACAGCAGGUUCUCUGACUGGCAGCCCUCAUCUUUCAGAGCUUUCCAUCAAUUCCCAAGGAGGACCAUCAGUGGCAAACAUGUCAUUAUCUCCAAACUUGAGCCCUGAUGCCAAGCAGUCAUCUCCCUUGAUAAGCCCUUUGCUGAAUGACCCAUCAUGCAUCAGGACUGAGGAAGAGGAAGAGGUCAGAAAAAAGAGAUUCCCAACUGAGAAAGCUUACUUCAUUGCUAAAGAAGUAGCAACCACAGAACGAACAUACCUGAAGGACCUUGAAGUUAUCACAUCGUGGUUUCAGAGUGCAGUGAGCAAAGAGGAUUGCAUGCCCGAGACUCUGAAAAAUCUUAUAUUCUCCAACUUCGAACCUUUGCACAAAUUUCACACUGGUUUUCUCAAGGAAAUUGAGCAGAGACUUGCUCUGUGGGAAGGCCGUUCCAAUGCUCACAUUAAAGGAGGUCACCAAAGAAUCGGGGAUGUUAUGCUGAAGAACAUUCAGAGUAUGAAGCAACUGACAGUUCACCUGUGGAAGCACAAUGAAAUUUUAACUGAGUUGGAGAAUGGAAUCAAGAACUCUCGCAAGCUGGAGACCUUUUGCAGGGACUUCGAGCUACAGAAAGUUUGCUACUUGCCUCUCAAUACCUUCCUGCUCAGACCUUUACACAGGCUUAUGCACUACAAGCAGAUAAUGGAGAGACUUUGCAAACACUACCCACCACACCACGCAGACUUCAGGGAUUCAAGAGCUGCUUUGGCUGAGAUUUCCGAAAUGGUGGCUCAGCUCCAUGGCAAUAUGAUAAAGAUGGAGAACUUCCAGAAGCUGCAUGAACUCAAGAAAGACUUGAUAGGCAUUGACAAUCUGGUAAUCCCAGGAAGGGAAUUCAUUAGACUGGGCAGUCUUAGUAAGUUGUCUGGAAAAGGUUUACAGCAACGAAUGUUUUUCCUGUUUAAUGAUAUUUUGUUGUACACAAGCAGAGGCCUGACAGCAUCGAAUCAGUUUAAAGUCCAUGGGCAUCUGCCACUGUAUGGCAUGACAAUUGAAGAAAGUGAAGAGGAAUGGGGAGUUCCUCACUGUCUAACACUACGAGGUCAACAGCAGUCCAUAAUUGUUGCGGCAAGCACCCGCGCUGAAAUGGACAAAUGGACUGAGGACAUUCAGAUGGCAAUAGACCUGGCAGAGAACAGCAGCGGCCCUGCCCCUGAGCUGCUGGCCAGCAGCCCCCCUGACAACAAGUCUCCUGAUGAAACUACUGUAGACCAGGAAUCUGAGGACGACCUCAGUGCAUCCCGCACCUCACUCGAACGUCAGUCACCACACCGUGGCAACACUACGGUGCACGUCUGCUGGCACAGAAAUACCAGCGUUUCAAUGAUCGACUUUAGUAUUGCUGUGGAGGUAUCGGCCUCAGAACCGUCUGCGCUGCAGCUCCAGACACGCUCUCCAAUGACAAUUUCCUUUUUGCUCCUCCUUUAGAAGUGCAGUGUUCCUUGGUUUCCUCUCAGGGAUGUUUCAGGCACGCUGCUCCCGUACCAGCCGCACAGCUUCACUGCCUUAGUGCAUCUUUCUUACAGUCAGUUAGAGCAGUAAUUCUAUAGAAGAACUGUCCAAAAAGUGCUGAUGGUCUUUAAAACUUAAAGCGGAUCAAAUUGCCUUAAUGCUGUCAUUUACAGAGGCAUUAAGUCAUUGCACGAGCUGAAAGGAUAUUGUCUCUAUCUGCUGCAGCCAGGUCUGGUUAUAUGUAGUACUAACCUAUUUCUUUACCCAGCCAUCUUUUCUGGAACCUUCCCUCAUUGCCCAGUCUCAUCUGCUUUUCCUUUUUUUGCAUUUUCCACCUCAAAAUAAAUACCCUUCUUGUUUCUCCGAUCACAGCUGAGUCCAUCUGAUAUACGUUCCUUAACUCUGUGCUCAGUGGAUGAGAGCCAGACUUUGACUUCUCACAAUACCGAAGGGAAAGACUCUUAGGCCCCCGCUGGUUUCAGGGUGAGGUGUUUGGGUGUCCCUCCUGCACCAGAGGGACAUUGCAGGGAGCUCUGACUGCUUUAUCAUGGUCCUCAUCACAGGGAAGCGUGUGCUCAGUGGAAGUGGUGAAAGCAUCACGUGGAAGUGUGUGCUCAAUGGAGAUGGUGCAAGGGACCUUAAAACUCCAUUGGCCUCUCCUCCCGGGCAGCCCGGAGGUGCCAGUUCCUUCCUGCUCUGGAGGGAGCACCCUAACUCAGAGCUAAGGACAGAUAGCGUUCAGGUUGCCCUGUUUUUAGCAGAAGAGUUGCUGAAACUUGAUCCAAGAAGUGAUUCCCUAUAAGAAAACGCUAACUGCAGAGCCUCACUGUGCUCCCAUGCAGGUGCAUUUUCUGCUCACAUUUUUCCCUAAAGCAUAGGGCUUAUUGUAAAUGCAUAUAGCAUAAUUUUAAACUGGUGAUUAGUUCGAACAGUUGAAAUGUUUAAUUAGGCAAACCUCUCUACCCAGCAUCAGGGCUCGUUGCUCUUCCUUUUUGUUCCUCCCCGUGACUCAGCCGAGUGCAGGCCCAGCGGUGAGGACCAAGCACACUGGAGCCAUUCAUUGUUCUGUGAAAACAUCUCCAGCUCCACCGCUGCCUGGUGCCUGCAGGUCACGCUCAUGCUCACGCCAUUCUCGUGGUGCCUUUCACUUCAGCAUUACCGUUCAUUUUCUUUGUGUCUCUCCCUCCUCUCUGUCUCUCCUGUGGUAGAAGAUCCUCUCUCUGUCAGUGACUGUACUUCCCUACCUGCUGGACUGAUCAGUGACCAGCGACCUGUUUCCAUUUCAUGUGUCUGCUGGUACCGAAUGCAAAGCCUGUCCUUUUAUGAUAUCCUCCAGAGUGACGAGGUAACAGAAAAUGAAGGAGUGUGCCUGUAACCUGGGUCACAGUGUCAGCAGAGCAUGGCGUUGCCCAAAGCAAAGGCCUUAAUGCACACCCCAGGCUGGUGAAUACUUAGUUUGUAGUAGGUAAAUCUGGACCACCAGGCUUGGAGCAUUAAGCAUUGCAGACUAAAUUAUUAGCUUCUGCGCUAUGUUAUGUGAACAGCUGUUUGGAUCCAGAUGAUAGUUAAAUACUUGGUGUUCCUCCUCCUUGCUGUAAAAUACCCCAAAUCCAGCUCAGAAUAGGGUGAAUAGUCCGCGUGUUUGAAAGCUUUGACAAGUUCCCGUGUUAACUUGCUGUGUACUGAGAGCUUAACCUCUGUCUGCGGUGCUGAAGUACAUCAUGAUUUUCCUUUACAUCCCAAAUUCAUGUCAGCCUUUCUGUUUCCAUUGUUCUAUUUAAGUAUCAUUUGAAAAGAACACAGAUGAGGAUAACGAGACUGGCUGAGGGUUGCUGACACAUAAGUGGUCGAAAGUUUUUGGAAGUACCCAGCUGCAAACAAAAACAUAUUACAAAGUACUGUUUAGCUGUAGAAAAACCCAUUCAUUCGGCCAAAGCACCUUCACAUGCAGCAAGAUCACAUGUGAAAUGCUAAAAGCAGAUCGUUGUUCUUAUGGUGAUUAAACUGCAGCCAGCCCUCACUUAAGGGGUGGUGGGUAUCUCUGGUUCUAAGCUUACUGCCAAAGUGAUGGCAUUCAUUAAGCAGAAAUGCAAGCAUCCUUUCUGUGGGGUUUGGCUGCUUUGCGUCUGCUCGUGCACCUCUGCAGCGUGCAUUUCACUGCUUUAUUUGACUUCUUCUGAUCUGUUUCAGAAUCAGCUGUCUGGAAACCUCCUAAGGAAAUUCAAGAACAGCAACGGGUGGCAGAAGCUUUGGGUGGUGUUCACCAACUUCUGCAUGUUCUUCUACAAAUCGCACCAGGACAAUCAUCCCUUAGCCAGCCUCCCUCUGUUGGGAUAUUCUCU